rnacentral:rRNA from 1 species
ACCGGCAGCUCAAGUGGUGGCCAUUUUUAUUGGGCCUAAAGCGUUCGUAGCCGGUUUGAUAAGUCUCUGGUGAAAUCCCGCAGCUUAACUGUGGGACUUGCUGGAGAUACUAUUAGACUUGAGGUCGGGAGAGGUUAGGGGUACUCCCAGGGUAGGGGGGGGGGGGGGGGGGGGGGGGGGGGGGACCUGUGGCGAAGGCGCCUAACUGGAACGAACCUGACGGUGAGUAACGAAAGCCAGGGGCGCGAACCG